rnacentral:rRNA from 1 species
CCGGGGUUCUUUUCCCAUGCAGUCGACGGUGACCAUCUUCGGGUGGGGAUCAGUGGCGAACGGGUGAGUAACACGUGGGCAACCUGCCCCCGGCUCUGGGAUAACUCCAAGAAAUUGGGGCUAAUACCGGAUAUGACCGCUGGCCGCAUGGUCUGGUGGUGGAAAGAUUUAUCGGCUGGGGAUGGGCCCGCGGCCUAUCAGCUUGUUGGUGGGGUGAUGGCCUACCAAGGCGACGACGGGUAGCCGGCCUGAGAGGGUGUCCGGCCACACUGGGACUGAGAUACGGCCCAGACUCCUACGGGAGGCAGCAGUGGGGAAUAUUGCACAAUGGGCGCAAGCCUGAUGAGGCGACGCCGCGUGGGGGAUGACGGCCUUCGGGUUGUAAACCUCUUUCAGCACAGACGAAGCGUAAGUGACGGUAUGUGCAGAAGAAGCACCGGCCAACUACGUGCCAGCAGCCGCGGUAAUAAUCUAGAUGCA